rnacentral:rRNA from 1 species
UACGUAGGGUGCAAGCGUUAAUCGGAAUUACUGGGCGUAAAGCGUGCGCAGGCGGCUUUGCAAGACAGAUGUGAAAUCCCCGGGCUCAACCUGGGAACUGCAUUUGUGACUGCAUGGCUAGAGUACGGUAGAGGGGGAUGGAAUUCCGCGUGUAGCAGUGAAAUGCGUAGAUAUACGGAGGAACACCGAUGGCGAAGGCAAUCCCCCUGGACCUGUACUGACGCUCAUGCACGAAAGCGUGGGGAGCAAACAGG